rnacentral:rRNA from 1 species
UUUGGGAAAUAGUUUCUGCUCAGUGAAGAUUUUAAAUAGCCGCAGUAUUCUAACUGUGCUAAGGUAGCAUAAUAAUUUGUCUUAUAAUAGAAGACUGGAAUGAAGGAAUUGAUAAUAUUAGAGCUUUUAAAAUUGUUUGUGGAAAUUAAUAUUUACUUCAAAAAGAGUAACUUUUUAAAAAGACGAGAAGACCCUAUAAAACUUUAUUAAACGAAAGGGAAUUAAAUUUAGAAUUUUAUUUAUUUUAUUUAAUUAAGCUGGGGCGGCAUUUAAUAACUCAUAAAAAAAAUUAACAUUUAAAAUUUGAAUAUAAAAUAUAUAGAUCUUAAUAAAAAAAAUUGAAUAAGUUACUUUAGGGAUAACAGCACAAUUUUUUCAUAUAGUUCUUAUAGAAGGAAAAGACUUGUGACCUCGAUGUUGAAUUGGGAGGCCUAAUUUGAGUAAAAAUAGAUUAAGGGGGUCUGUUCGACCUUUAAAAUCCC